rnacentral:tRNA from 1 species
AGCAGCGUGGCUUAGUGGAAAGAGCAUGGGCUUGGGAGUCAGAGGUCAUGGGUUCUAAUCCUGCCUCUGCUG